rnacentral:rRNA from 1 species
CUCCGAGAAUAAUAUCCAGCCUUGUACAACAUUGCUCGCGAUAAGAAUAAUACUAUUGCACAGAUGCUCAGUUCACCCCCCCCCCCGAAUAUUUCAUUCAGGCGGGAUUUGAUUGGCCCCCGACUAAUGUCAUGGCAUAAUUUUUUGUCCCGUCUAGAUGCAAUUAGCCUGACACAAGGUCAGGAUGUGUUUCGCUGGAACCUUAAUACAUUAGGGUCAUUCACUGUAGACUCUAUGUAUCGUGCACUCAUGCAUUCUAAGGUACCGGUGAGUAAUAAUAAGAAAAUUUGGAGGUCGAAGAUACGACUAAAAGUUAAAAUCUUCAUGUGGUAUCUUCGUAGGGGAGUUGUGCUAACCAAAGACAACCUCGCAUGA